rnacentral:misc_RNA from 1 species
GAUGAAGAACGUAGCGAAAUGCGAUAAGUAAUGCGAAUUGCAGAAUUCAGUGAGUCAUCGAAUCUUUGAACGCACAUUGCGCCCUGUGGUAUUCCGCAGGGCAUGCCUGUUCGAGCGUCAUUUCAACCCUCAAGCCUCGCUUGGUGUUGGGCCCUGCCCGCCGCGGCCGGCCCUAAAGAUAGUGACGGCGCCGCCUGGCCCUCAGCGUAGUACAGCUCUCGCUCCAGGGUCCGGCGGCAGCCUGCCAGAACCCCCCAACUCUGUGGUUGACCUCGGAUCAGGUAGGGAUACCCGCUGAACUUAAGCAUAUCAAUAAGCGGAGGA